GAUGAACGCUGGCGGCGUGCUUAACACAUGCCAGUCGAACGAAGCACUUUAUUUGAUUUCCUUCGGGACUGAUUAUUUUGUGACUGAGUGGCGGACGGGUGAGUAACGCGUGGGUAACCUGCCUUGUACAGGGGGAUAACAGUUGGAAACGGCUGCUAAUACCGCAUAAGCGCACAGCAUCGCAUGAUGCAGUGUGAAAAACUCCGGUGGUAUAAGAUGGACCCGCGUUGGAUUAGCUAGUUGGUGAGGUAACGGCCCACCAAGGCGACGAUCCAUAGCCGACAUGAGAGGGUGACCGGCCACAUUGGGACUGGGACACGGCCCAAACUCCUACGGGAGGCAGCAGUGGGGAAUAUUGCACAAUGGGCGAAAGCCUGAUGCAGCGACGCCGCGUGAGCGAAGAAGUAUUUCGGUAUGUAAAGCUCUAUCAGCAGGGAAGAUAAUGACGGUACCUGACUAAGAAGCACCGGCUAAAUACGUG
rnacentral:rRNA from 1 species